CACAGAAAGAAAAAAAAAGGAGCAACAAAAGCAAAUGCGGUGGAUCAGCAGUGCUUGCUAACAACUGAUGGCGUAAUUCUAGACGGAUUACUGCGGAGCAUCUUCUCUGCUGCCCCGGAAACGGAAUCAGGAGACUGUCUUCAGUCAGAGGCCUCCUGAGAUUUGCUGCAAGACUGACAGCUUCUGGAGAUCCUUCCUGCCCAAAGUAUUACCAUUCACAACUACGUUUUAAAGAUACUUGGAAGAUAAGUAACAUCUUUUUAAUAAAGUAUUUUUGAAUUUACUGAAAGCUUUCAUCUUUUUCCCCCCACUUUAUUUUC